rnacentral:rRNA from 1 species
UGCCAGCCGCCGCGGUAAUACGGAGGGGGCUAGCGUUGUUCGGAAUUACUGGGCGUAAAGCGCACGUAGGCGGAUCGUUAAGUGAGGGGUGGAAUCCCGGGGCUCAACCCCGGAACUGCCUUUCAUACUGGCGAUCUGGAGUUCGAGAGAGGUGAGUGGAAUUCCGAGUGUAGAGGUGAAAUUCGUAGAUAUUCGGAGGAACACCAGUGGCGAAGGCGGCUCACUGGACCAAUACUGACGCUGAGAUGCGAAAGCGUGGGGAGCGAACAGGAUUAGAUA